CGCUUUAUUAGAUAGGUAUUGAUCGUACCAAUCAGGGAAAAAAAGUUUAUGAAACUAUGUUCACCAGAGCGUGAGCUGGGUGUCUUGGAGUGAGCUCUUAUCUGGCUACUCUGCCGUACAGUGAACGUGGAGUAUUUUGUCAAUAUCUCGAGUAAAUUUUGACCGAAUUUCAUGAUUUUUUUGUUUGUUUGAAAGUUAUUAACGAAUGCAAAGCGUCUGUACUAUUUCCUGUCUCCUAACAAAAUGGCUGCCGACGGCCAUAUUGGAUUUUAU